rnacentral:rRNA from 1 species
UACGUAGGCAGCGAGCGUUGUUCGGAGUUACUGGGCGUAAAGGGUGUGUAGGCGGUUGUUUAAGUUUGGUGUGAAAUCUCCCGGCUCAACUGGGAGGGUGCGCCGAAUACUGAAUGACUCGAGUGUGGGAGAGGUGAGUGGAAUUCCUGGUGUAGCGGUGAAAUGCGUAGAUAUCGGGAGGAACACCUGUGGCGAAAGCGGCUCACUGGACCACAACUGACGCUGAGGCGCGAAAGCGUGGGGAGCAAACAGG